rnacentral:rRNA from 1 species
UACGUAGGUGGCAAGCGUUGUCCGGAAUUAUUGGGCGUAAAGCGUGCGCAGGCGGUCUGCUAAGAGAGGUGUGAAAUCCCCGGGCUUAACCUGGGAACUGCGCUUCUAACUGGCAGGCUAGAGUGUGGCAGAGGGGGGUGGAAUUCCACGUGUAGCAGUGAAAUGCGUAGAGAUGUGGAGGAACACCGAUGGCGAAGGCAGCCCCCUGGGCUAACACUGACGCUCAUGCACGAAAGCGUGGGGAGCAAACAGG